rnacentral:lncRNA from 1 species
GCUAUUGACUAUAGUGCAUGGCUUAUAUAGCUAAUUAUAUAUAUUAUGUUAAUACUUUACAUUAUAGGUUAAAUAACUCAAGAAUAUUGUCUUCUAAACAGUUUUCGUAACCAAAAAUACUUAACAAAUAUUAUAUUACCUUCACUGGUAACAUGGAUUGGCACACCCCGACCUGAAUCGAGGCAUGUUGGCCGUCACGUGAGGGUGACGUAGUCAUGUGCAUAGUGCGGAAGCAAAAAUGAUAUGGAGAAAUACGAGUGAAUAAAAACCAAACUACUAAAGGUACUAGCUA